CGGUGUGUGUGUGUGUGUGUCCUCCUCCUCCCCUUCCUCUUAAUUAAAACAAGUUGCUUAAAAACUAAAAUAUUAAACGCGAUAACGACUUUUAAACUAUCUCCUCAUGUUUUAUUUUUUUAAAAACAAAGUCGUUAAAUUGUGGUAACGGUUUAGCAGUUAGCAACGGUUGCUAACGUCGCCGUUACUGAGACAACGGGGCGGAUGGAGUAUGCAGAUUUAUAUUUUGGUGGGUACGCCCCAGAUGUGAGUGUUACUUUAAACGCCACACAAAGCAUGUGGUUUUAAUUAUGGCCAUUAGUUAGACUCGUUAAAAAAAUAAUUAAAUAUGAUAAGUAGAAAUCAUAAAACGUUAAAUGUGGCGACGGUAGUAUAGUAAGUAGACCGUGUUCCGCCGCACUGCCUCGGCAGCAGCUCGGCAGCUGUGCCGGGGCUGGUCCCGUCUCAACAGCCGCUGACACAAGAAGGAGGUUUGCUACACAUUUUGUUUGAAAUAUCACACAACCGACCACAUGACGCGUCAAGGGGUUUGGAUCUUAUCCCAGUUUGCAUCGGCAGAGGGCGAGGAAACACCAUGGAUCAUUUCCAAGACUGACACUGGGAUUAUUAAGGAAAAAGCCUGUAGGGUCUCACCGGUCGACGAACAUGGUAGCUCUCAUAGAAGGCCAUCCAUGUGAGAGCAAUGCCCCCGGGGAAGUAGUUGAAGCGGCGUGACACCUCGCAUGCCUUGUGGAGGACCUGAAGGGCAGACCUGCAGAGGAACAGAGCAAAAGCUUUACCAUCCAAGAGAUGUAUAGUGAAAGGAGCGGGGCCACAGGCACAAUCAGGCAUUGUGGCGAAUCGCUGCAGGGUAAACACGAUGGAGUGACUCACCACAUGGCCUGCACAGAUACAGGCUUGAAGACAUGUGACCGCCCUGCUGUGUUCACACUGAAGCCUCUGGUGAAGAAGAGGAGGAGAAGGAAGGAAGGAAGGAUCAGUUUGAGUCUGGGUGGAGAUGAUGGGGAGUGAUCGUGGGGAUGUAAACACAGACUGGACACGGCUCGUUCAUGGGACUAUUCAGGACACCGACCAGUGGAACAUUCCUCCAGCAUACAAAGACAGAGACAAUGUUAACAGGUCAGCAAGAACGGCUCUCACACACACAGAGAAAAAUGCAUGUAGUUCACUUUACUGCCACUGGUGGGCAGUAAAACCUAAAAAGACAGAGAACAACCAAAACAUACAGCCUGGAGGUGUGUGUGUGUUUUAAUAAUUAUUCCAUCUUUUAUUAAAGGACAAACUGAAACUUACCCAUCUCCGUCUAAAUGUAUGUUGGUAUCACUCCACAGUGGUAGCACCAUCCCAAUAGAGCAUUCUUUACUGUAGAUCACAAAGAUUUAAGAAUAACAAUUUAACAAAUAAUCUGAUUGAACUGCACUAAA